UGGCCAUGAUUAUAUUUUAUCCGCGCUUUUGAAAGCAAUUUAUGAAGCAUAAGAGGAAAAAAAUUUGGUUGAAUUUCUUGAUAUGAGCCA